GGAUUAGAUACCCGGGUAGUCCAUGCCGUAAACGAUGUCAACUAGCCGUUGGGGCCCUUGAGGCCUUAGUGGCGCAGCUAACGCGAUAAGUUGACCGCCUGGGGAGUACGGUCGCAAGACUAAAACUCAAAUGAAUUGACGGGGGCCCGCACAAGCGGUGGAGCAUGUGGUUUAAUUCGAUGCAACGCGAAGAACCUUACCUAGCCUUGACAUGUCUGGAAUCUUGUAGAGAUACGAGAGUGCCUUCGGGAAUCAGAACACAGGUGCUGCAUGGCUGUCGUCAGCUCGUGUCGUGAGAUGUUGGGUUAAGUCCCG
rnacentral:rRNA from 1 species